GCACUCGCGCGUGCGUGAGCUGGCGCGCGAGAAAGGGCCCGGUCGCGUCCAGGCUCGAGCGGCCGUCGCCAUUUUGUAAGGUUCUCUCUGACGUGGGAGCCGCCGUCGCUGCCGCCACCCGGAGGCUCUUGUCAGGAUGGUGAAGCUGUUCAUCGGAAACCUUCCCCGGGAGGCUACAGAGCAGGAGAUUCGCUCACUCUUCGAGCAGUAUGGGAAGGUGCUGGAAUGUGACAUCAUUAAGAAUUACGGCUUUGUGCACAUAGAAGACAAGACGGCAGCUGAGGAUGCCAUACGCAACCUGCACCAUUACAAGCUUCAUGGGGUGAACAUCAACGUGGAAGCCAGCAAGAAUAAGAGCAAAGCUUCAACCAAGUUACACGUGGGUAACAUCAGCCCCACUUGUACCAACCAAGAGCUUCGAGCCAAGUUUGAGGAGUAUGGUCCGGUCAUCGAAUGUGACAUCGUGAAAGAUUAUGCCUUCGUACACAUGGAGCGGGCAGAGGAUGCAGUGGAGGCCAUCAGGGGCCUUGACAACACAGAGUUUCAAGGCAAAAGAAUGCAUGUGCAGUUGUCCACAAGCCGGCUUCGGACUGCCCCUGGUAUGGGAGACCAGAGUGGCUGCUAUCGGUGUGGGAAAGAAGGGCACUGGUCCAAAGAGUGCCCAGUAGAUCGUACGGGUCGUGUGGCAGACUUUACUGAGCAGUAUAAUGAACAAUAUGGAGCAGUUCGAACACCUUACACCAUGGGCUACGGGGAAUCCAUGUAUUACAACGAUGCAUAUGGAGCACUCGACUACUAUAAGCGAUACCGGGUCCGCUCUUAUGAGGCAGUAGCAGCGGCGGCAGCGGCUUCUGCAUACAACUACGCAGAGCAGACCAUGUCCCAUCUGCCUCAAGUCCAAAGCACAACUGUGACCAGCCACCUCAACUCUACUUCUGUUGAUCCCUAUGACAGACACCUAUUGCCAAACUCUGGCGCUGCUGCCACUUCAGCUGCUAUGGCUGCUGCUGCAGCCACCACUUCCUCCUACUAUGGAAGGGACAGGAGCCCACUGCGUCGUGCUGCAGCCAUGCUCCCCACAGUUGGAGAGGGCUACGGUUAUGGGCCAGAGAGUGAAUUAUCUCAGGCUUCCGCAGCUACACGGAAUUCUCUGUAUGACAUGGCCCGGUAUGAACGGGAGCAGUAUGUGGACCGAGCCCGGUACUCAGCCUUUUAAAAACUGGAGGUGAGAGAUGGGUGGGAAUGGUUAAAAGAUUCCAUUUAGUUCCCUUGAAAGAGACCCAUGCUUCAUAAAAGUGGCUAGAGCCACCUGUGCUCUCCGGACAGUAUCCAAAAGGUGCAAAUUACAUGUUAGUCUUCAAUAUUUCUCUAGCUUAGGCCACAAGUUCCAUUUGGCCUGUCAAGGUGUUAGUGUAUGACUCCAACCAACUUGUUCCUUCUGAGAGAACAACAAAUUCAGUUUGUUAGUGAGAACAUUCUUUAAUCAGUUGUAAGCAUAUUUGGGUUACAGAAAAACAUUUGAGAGAUCUAACAUUUGUUAUGUGCCCUCUGUAUAUCAUCUACACGAUAAGACUGAAAUAUUUUAUUCUUUUACAGAGAAGGGAACUAAAGCUCAGAGAGGUUAAGUACUUUGCCCAAAGUCAUUUGAUAAAUGAAAGGUAGAACCAGAAUUCAAAUUUGGACCUGUCUGAUACCAAAACCCAUACUCGCUCUACUACAGAAGUACUGUAGUGGUAAGCUGAAGGGUACAGGUUCAGGGGUUAGUAAUGAAUAUCACAGUGAGAAUUUUAACUAUUACUUUAGGCUUAUAGUUUGCUAAUAAAAUUGCUACCUGAAGGCAGAGGCAGUGGCUCACUCCUGUAAUCCUAACACUGGGAGGCUGAGGCGGGAGGAUCACUUGAGCCCAGGAGUUCAAGACCAGCCUAGGCAACAUAGCAAGACCCUGUCUCUACAAAGAAAAUUAAAUUAGCAGGGUGUGAUGGGGAGCACCUGUGAUCCCAGCUACUCAGAAUGCUGAGGUUGGAAGGAUUGCUUGAGCCCAGGAGUUAAAAGAGGCUGCAGUGAGCUAUGAUCACACCACUGUAUUCCAGCCUGGGCAACAGAGUGAGACUGUCUCUCCUUUAUUUAAAAAAAAAAAAAAACCUACUUCUUGGGUCAUUGUCCUUUGUCAAAGGAAACUCUUCUAAUAUCAUACCUACAUGCCAGAGGAAGUCCUAUAAAUUUUAAAUGUUUACUUCCAAGACAUUUACUUGAAAGUUGAAUGUUUUGAUGUUCUGUCCCAUGGGGUCCUUAUUGUAAUCUAGACCAUCUUGUUCUAGAUGGGCACUUAAGCCCUGUUUCUUCAUAGUCUGUUAUGCUGUCAUUUGGACCUGGAUGCUUCCUGUUUCUUCCAGCAAUUUUUGUUUGUGUUUUUUGUUGUUGAAGAGAGGAACAUUUAAGGAGUUAGAUAAACUGGUAAUUUUCAGAUGUGUAGAAAAUUGCAUAGGUGGUGAAAGCCAAUGCCAUAGGCUCUGAAAUUUUACUAUUUCCUACAUCAGGAAAUGUGUACCAAAAGUGCUAAAAUGCCAAGAAUAAUUUUGAGUAUCUAAAGAUAGAUAAAUCUUUUCAUCUGAGUGGAAAUGGCAUUAUGACUUUAUAUUCUCAUGGUUUUCCUUGUACCUUGAAAUUGAGCAUCACUUGAAUUGGAGCCCCAGAAGCAAGGUUAAAGUGAGUUACUACUGAGUUUCUGGUGUUCCUAACUUAUCCCUUUGGUAUAUAUGUAGAAGAUAACAAAGCAGCUGUGUACAGUGGCUUGUGCCUGUAGUCCCAACUAUUCAGGAAGCUGAGGCUGGAGGAUCCCUUGAGCCCAGGAGUGAGAGACUGCAGUUAGCCACUGCACUCCAGCCUGGGCAAGAGUGGCUCCUCUCUCUCUUAAAAAAAAAAAAAAAAAUUAAAAAGCAAAGCCACAGCAAUUUGCUCUUUUAUGUGAAUUGAGAAGCAAAUGUUAUGAACCUGUAAUAAGUUGUACCCUAUAUGCAUGUCAGCAAGACUUGAGAUCUCUUGAGACCACCAUGCAGCUAGUCUGUGUUUAUGUGUGAAGCAAAUGAUCUUAAAAUUUAUAGUUUGCCAUUAAUUUUUACUUUUAAUGCAGCUGGAUCUAGCAUGGGGUGGGACAUGCUUCCGAAGUAAGCUGGUAUAAAUCUAUCAGAUAACCUGUCUCUUAUGUUUCAAAGUUAAAUAUUAAAUUCAUAUAUUGUGGUCUUCAAAAGGUAUUGCUAGGACAUUUUAAAAUGAAUUUUGACUGCAAGCAGUGGUUGUUCAACUAACCUCUUUUUAGCGAUGACUUUUAAAGAAACUUACCUUCCAGGUGUGAACCUCAAAUGGACUGAAUAACCCUGAGUUGGUUGCAGUCCCAGGAGCCUGAUGUUAAUGAGGCUGCCAGGAUGAAAUACUCCAGAACUGUUGGGGAUCCAAAUUCGGGUCUCACCCUAGCAGAACUGAUCCAAGAACGUCACAACUUUUGAAGUCGAUUGGCACAGAUCAAGACCAAGAUUUGGCCCUUUGUCUGUAAUAAGUAGAGGAACUUGGUGACAGGACCCAGGGCGCUUGUACGCGGAGCCAGGCUGCUCUCCAGGCAUUGUGUAAGCCUCUUGUGUUGUGCUCUCUUUCAGGUAGGAUAAUUGCGGACUGAACCCUCGGGCUGCGGUCAUAUAUGAGAACUUGCUCCGCGCGGUCCCCUUUGCCGGGAUGUUUCCAUUGCUUCAUGUUUCAGUAAACAAAAGGAGUUUGUGACCAACUAUGUUUUCUUUCUUAAUUCUUCUAAGUUGACUUUUCUUUCCUCCUGAAACUAGUCUCUGUAGCCUUUCACUCUGUUCCUUAUAUUCUCAGCCUCUGAGCAGCCCUAGGUAAGGAUUAUGCUGGCAUCCCCUUUUUCCUGUGCAGUGGAACCCCUCUUAUCUUGCUUUCCCUAGGAGUUGAAUCCUUCUCCCUGCCUACCUGCAGCAUCUCCUUUCCCUUUAAAAUGACCAUGUAGUGGCAAGCAGCCUUUUACUCUUCUGUUAGCUCUGGACUCUUAACACUUAAGUUACUCUUCUGAAAUUGCUAGGACCAUUGGGGGUUUUGUUGUUUUGUUUGUUUUUUAUGUCCGACCUGUGAUCGUGGUACAGCAUUAGCUGAAAUUUACCCUUGUUUUACUCCACUCCUCCCUUUUUUAAAAAAAUUUUUUGACAAAUAAAUGUUUCUAACACUUAAA